AUACGGAGGAUGCAAGCGUUAUCCGGAUUUAUUGGGUUUAAAGGGUGCGUAGGCGGAUGAUUAAGCGUGAGGUGAAAUGCCACUGCUCAACAGUGGAACUGCCUCGCGAACUGGUUGUCUUGAAUGCUCCUGCCGUGGGAGGAAUGUGUGGUGUAGCGGUGAAAUGCAUAGAGAUCACACAGAACACCGAUUGCGAAGGCAUCUCACGAAGGGGUGAUUGACGCUGAGGCACGAAAGCGUGGGGAUCAAACAGGAUUAGAUACCCUGGUAGUCCACGCAGUAAACGAUGAUGGCUAACCGCUGGGCUUAUCAGUUCAGUGGCCAAGCGAAAGCGAUAAGCCAUCCACCUGGGGAGUACGACCGCAAGGUUGAAACUCAAAGGAAUUGACGGGG
rnacentral:rRNA from 1 species